GACGAACGCUGGCGGCGUGCUUAACACAUGCAAGUCGAACGAUGAACCCGGAGCUUGCUCCGGUGGAUUAGUGGCGAACGGGUGAGUAACACGUGAGUAACCUGCCCUUGACUCUGGGAUAACUGCGGGAAACUGUAGCUAAUACCGGAUACGACCCUCGGCGGCAUCGCCAGUGGGUGGAAAGAAUUUCGGUCAAGGAUGGACUCGCGGCCUAGCAGCUAGUUGGUGAGGUAACGGCUCACCAAGGCGACGACGGGUAGCCGGCCUGAGAGGGUGACCGGCCACACUGGGACUGAGACACGGCCCAGACUCCUACGGGAGGCAGCAGUGGGGAAUAUUGCACAAUGGGCGCAAGCCUGAUGCAGCAACGCCGCGUGAGGGAUGACGGCCUUCGGGUUGUAAACCUCUUUUAGUAGGGAAGAAGCGAAAGUGACGGUACCUGCAGAAAAAGCACCGGCUAACUACGUGCCAGCAGCCGCAGUAA
rnacentral:rRNA from 1 species